UACGGAGGGGGCUAGCGUUGUUCGGAAUUACUUGGCGUAAAGCGUGCGCAGGCGGUUUUGUAAGCCAGGUGUGAAAUCCCCGGGCUCAACCUGGGAAUGGCAUUUGGGACUGCAAGGCUGGAGUGCGGCAGAGGAGACUGGAAUUCCUGGUGUAGCAGUGAAAUGCGUAGAUAUCAGGAGGAAUACCGAUGGCGAAGGCAGGUCUCUGGGCUGACACUGACGCUCAUGCACGAAAGCGUGGGGAGCAAACAGG
rnacentral:rRNA from 1 species